rnacentral:rRNA from 1 species
UACGUAGGGUGCGAGCGUUAAUCGGAAUUACUGGGCGUAAAGCGUGCGCAGGCGGUUCGUUGUGUCGGUGGUGAAAGCCCCGGGCUUAACCUGGGAAUGGCCAUGGAAACUGGCGGACUGGAGUGUGGCAGAGGGGGGUGGAAUUCCGCGUGUAGCAGUGAAAUGCGUAGAGAUGCGGAGGAACACCGAUGGCGAAGGCAGCCCCUUGGGCUAACACUGACGCUCAGGCACGAAAGCGUGGGGAGCAAACAGG